rnacentral:rRNA from 1 species
UACGUAGGGGGCAAGCGUUGUCCGGAUUUAUUGGGCGUAAAGAGCGUGUAGGCGGCCCGGUAAGUCCGCUGUGAAAGUCGGGGGCUCAACCCUCGAAUGCCGGUGGAUACUGUCGGGCUAGAGUGCGGAAGAGGCGAGUGGAAUUCCUGGUGUAGCGGUGAAAUGCGCAGAUAUCAGGAGGAACACCGAUUGCGAAGGCAGCUCGCUGGGACGUAACUGACGCUGAGACGCGAAAGCGUGGGGAGCAAACAGG